GCACAAGCGGUGGAGCAUGUGGUUUAAUUCGACGCAACGCGAAGAACCUUACCAGGGCUUGACAUCCCCUGACCGCGUAUGAAAGUACGUUUUCACCCUCGGGUGACAGGGAGACAGGUGGUGCAUGGUUGUCGUCAGCUCGUGUCGUGAGAUGUUGGGUUAAGUCCCGCAACGAGCGCAACCCCUACGUUUAGUUGCUAACGCGUGAAGGCGAGCACUCUAGACGAACUGCCGUUGACAAAACGGAGGAAGGUGGGGAUGACGUCAAAUCAUCAUGCCCCUUAUGUUCUGGGCUACACACGUGCUACAAUGGCCGGUACAGACGGACGCAAAGCCGCGAGGUGGAGCAAAUCCUAAAAAGCCGGUCUCAGUCCGGAUUGAAGUCUGCAACUCGACUUCAUGAAGGCGGAAUCGCUAGUAACCGCGAAUCAGCAGGUCGCGGUGAAUACGUUCCCGGGCCUU
rnacentral:rRNA from 1 species